rnacentral:rRNA from 1 species
UACGGAGGAUGCAAGCGUUAUCCGGAAUUAUUGGGCGUACAGCGUCCGUAGGUGGCUAAUCAAGUCUGCUGUCAAAGCGUGGAGCUUAACUCCAUACCGGCGGUGGAAACUGAUGAGCUAGAGUGCGAUAGGGGUAGCAGGAAUUCCCAGUGUAGCGGUGAAAUGCGUAGAGAUUGGGAAGAACACCAGCGGCGAAAGCGUGCUACUGGGUCUGCACUGACACUGAGGGACGAAAGCUAGGGGAGCGAAAGGG